rnacentral:rRNA from 1 species
GGGAAUAAGAUGAAAGCAUCUUGCCGCAACGACGCCGUGUUGUGUGAUGAAGGAUCUUUGUUUGUACACCUCUUUCAGGAAGGAAGAAGAUGACGGUUCCUCCACAAGAACCCCCGGCCUACUUGCUGCCAGCCGCCGCGGUACUACGUGGGGGGCGAGCGUUGUCCUGAUUUGUUGGGCGUAAACACCUCGGAGGUGGUUCAACUCGUCCGUCGUAAUACUUCGCGGCUCCCCCCUGAGAUGUCCAUCGAUGCUGUUGUGACUAUGAUACGGAAGAGAUGAGAGUACUUCCUAUUGUAGCGAUGAAAUGCGAAAAUCUUAGGAAGAACACCUGUUGCGGAGGCUCCUUGCUGGGCCGCUAUCGCUGCUGAGGAACGAAAGCUAGAGGAGCAAACAUGAUAAAAUCCGCUGGUACUCCUAGCUGUCAACGAUGGAUACUAGACGUAAGAGCUGUAUUGACUGCUUCUGUGUCGCAACUAACGCGUUAAUCAUCCCUCCUGGGGAGUACCGUCGCAAUACUAAUACUCAGAGGAAGUUGGCGGA